rnacentral:rRNA from 1 species
AUGACUAGGGAUAACCUUAGGAAGAGACACAUCAUCAAACCCCUUGAUUGUGUUUACUGUUUGGAACAAGAGUCUUGUUCUCACCUAUUUUUUGAAUGUAUAGUUGCUAAAUAUCUCUGGGCCCACAUUGAGGAAUAUUUCUCUAGUCAGAUUGGCUCAUCUUUCGAAUCUGUCGCCAGAUUCUGGAUUGCUACCAAAAAGUGCUCAGUUUUAAAUAAUGUUAGCUCAGCUGUCCUUUGGUGCCUCUGGAAAUAUAGAAAUUCUAUGAUUUUUAGUAACACCUCCUGGAUUUCCAUUCCGCGGGUCUUGAGGUUGAUCAGGAACAGGUGGAAACCCUAA